AGAGGGUGCAAGCGUUAAUCGGAAUUACUGGGCGUAAAGGGCGUGUAGGUGGUUUGAUAAGUUGGCUGUGAAAGCCCCGGGCUUAACCUGGGAGGGUCAGCCAAAACUAUUAGACUAGAGUACGGUAGAGGGUAGUGGAAUUUCCGGUGUAGCGGUGAAAUGCGUAGAUAUCGGAAGGAACACCAGUGGCGAAGGCGACUACCUGGACUGAUACCGACACUGAGGCGCGAAAGCGUGGGGAGCGAACAGGAUUAGAUACCCUGGGUAGUCCACGCCGUAAACGAUGAGAACUAGCCGUUGGGGGACGUAAGUCUUUAGUGGCGCAGCUAACGCGAUAAGUUCUCCGCCUGGGGAGUACGGCCGCAAGGCUA
rnacentral:rRNA from 1 species